rnacentral:tRNA from 1 species
CGGGGUAUGGCGCAGUUGGCUAGCGCGCUUGCAUGGGGUGCAAGAGGUCGUGGGUUCAAGUCCCACUACCCCGACCA